GAAGAACUUACUGUACUGCUCUCCCUGUGGCCUGGAUUCGAAAUUUCUCUGGCUUGACUUUAGGAGAUUUCCUCUUUUGUACAGGAAAGGUCAGGUCAGGAAGAGCAGCAAGAGCAAAGGCCGAUGAUAAUGCGAGGAUUGGUCGAUCUUCCCCAGUUUUUUUGGGGGGCCAGGUCCAGCCCGAAGCUCUUUCUACCUACAUUCAUUAAACCGAGCGAGGGA
rnacentral:lncRNA from 1 species